AAAGUUGCUUAUUGGAGCUCUGCUUCGGGACGGCUUGGUUGGUCUCUGGCCUGAAUCUUCAGUCAUUGCCAUUAAUAUUGAUGUUAGAUUCCUAAAACCUCUCAAAGCGCAAGUGUUCGAAACCUCGUUAAGAUCUUUCAAAUGUCGACGGACUCUACGGAGACGUUCAAGCCCUAUACUCUUUCGCAAACCCUAACUAGUCACAAGCGCGCCGUCUCCGCUGUUAAAUUCUCAUCGAACGGCCGUCUCCUUGCGUCCUCCUCCGCCGACAAGACCCUCCGAACUUAUGGCUUUACCAAAUCCGAUUCCGAUUCCGAAAGCCUCAUCCUCUCUCCUAUGCAGGAGUAUCAGGGCCACGACCAGGGCGUUUCCGACUUGGCCUUUUCUUCCGACUCUCGUUUUCUUGUCUCCGCCUCUGAUGACAAGACCCUUCGCUUGUGGGACGUUCCUACUGGCUCGCUCAUCAAAACCCUCCAUGGCCACACUAAUUACGUCUUCUGUGUCAACUUCAAUCCUCAAUCCAACGUCAUCGUUUCGGGUUCCUUCGACGAGACUGUUCGGGUUUGGGAUGUCAAGUCCGGAAAGUGCUUGAAGGUCCUUCCAGCUCACUCUGAUCCCGUUACUGCUGUGGAUUUCAAUCGGGACGGCUCCCUCAUUGUUUCCAGCAGCUAUGAUGGGCUCUGUCGGAUUUGGGAUGCCUCAACUGGCCAUUGCAUGAAGACUUUGAUCGAUGAUGAGAAUCCUCCUGUUUCCUUCGUCAGAUUUUCGCCCAAUGGAAAGUUUAUUCUUGUUGGGACAUUGGACAACACUCUGAGGCUGUGGAACUACUCAACUGGGAAGUUUCUGAAGACAUACACUGGCCAUGUUAAUUCAAAAUACUGCAUUUCCGCUGCCUUCUCUAUAACAAAUGGGAAGUAUGUUGUUGGUGGUUCUGAAGAUAACUCUAUAUACUUGUGGGAACUGCAAACGAGGAAAAUAGUUCAGAAAUUGGAAGGUCACUCCGAUGCUGUUAUAUCUGUGUCAUGUCACCCUACAGAGAACAUGAUUGCUUCGGGUGCUCUGGGCACUGAUAAAACCGUGAAGAUCUGGACUCAACAGAAAAACUGAGUUAUUUUGAAUUUCUUCUUGGUGAGGAGUCAUCUAUGGUUUUGUAGACUUGAAUUAGGAGGACAAAAUAACUUGGUCAUGAAACUUCUUGCUUAUUUUCUGUUAGAGGCCUUGGAUACAGGAAUUUUUAGCUUCACCAGCUGUAUGGAGGGACUGUUUUUUAGAAGAUAUCAACUUUUAAUGCCCCUUUAAACGUUAAGAACCAACCAGAGACUGCGAGCAGGUCGGCUUCUCUGUAGAGAAGCUGUUCAGAUUGAUGUGUGGAUGUGAGUGGUAUUUCAAGCUUGGGAUCGGCACUUUGUGGUGCAUUCGCCUUUAUCUGCGCAAAUUGUUAGUAUUGUGUAAGGUGCACAUUGUUUAAUCUAGUGUCGAAUACAUGGAUCGCCUGUGAUCCCAGUGAAAGGCAUUUUCUGAUAUUUAUGGUGUGCAAAAUAUAAAAUGAAGUUGAACUUGAAUAACUGAGGAUAAAUGAAAUUGCAGCAAUUAUAAUACUACUUCCGGUCCUUAAUAU